rnacentral:rRNA from 1 species
GACGAACGCUGGCGGCGUGCUUAACACAUGCAAGUCGAGCGGAGCGGCGAACGGGCGAGCAACGCGUGAGUAACUGCCCCCCUCUCUGGGAUAACAGUUGGAAACGGCUGCUAAUACCGGAUAGUGGGGGAUGACUCGCGUCCUAUCAGCUUGUUGGUGGGGUAGUGGCCUACCAAGGCGACGACGGGUAGCCGGCCUGAGAGGGCGACCGGCCACCUUGGGAUGAGAUACGUCCCAAACUCCUACGGGAGGCAGCAGUGGUGAAUAUUGCAGAAUCGGGGAACCCCGGAUGCAGCAACGCCGCGUUCGGGGUCACCGCCUUCUGGUUAUAAGCCGCAUUCAGUCAUGACGCGGUAGUCGCAGAGGAAGCAACGGCUAACUCCAUGCCAGCAGCCGCGGUAAUAC